rnacentral:rRNA from 1 species
ACGAACGCUGGCGGCGUGCUUAACACAUGCAAGUCGAACGGAAAGGCCCUGCUUUUGUGGGGUGCUCGAGUGGUGAACGGGUGAGUAACACGUGAGUAACCUGCCCUUGACUUUGGGUUAACUUCAGGAAACUGGGGCUAAUACCGGAUAGGAGCUCCUGCUGCAUGGUGGGGGUUGGAAAGUUUCGGCGGUUGGGGAUGGACUCGCGGCUUAUCAGCUUGUUGGUGGGGUAGUGGCUUACCAAGGCUUUGACGGGUAGCCGGCCUGAGAGGGUGACCGGCCACAUGGGGACUGAGAGACGGCCCAGACUCCUACGGGAGGCAGCAGUGGGGAAUAUUGCACAAUGGGCGGAAGCCUGAUGAAGCAACGCCGCGUGCGGGAUGACGGCCUUCGGGUUAUAAACCGCUUUCGCCUGUGACGAAGCGUGAGUGACGGUAAUGGGUAAAGAAGCACCGGCUAACUACGUG